UACGUAGGCAGCAAGCGUUGUUCGGAAUUAUUGGGCGUAAAGAGUGUGUAGGCGGUGUCGUAAGUUUGGCGUGAAAUCUCCCGGCUUAACUGGGAGGGUGCGCCGAAGACUGCGAUGCUUGAGGAUCGGAGAGGAAAGUGGAAUUUCUGGUGUAGCGGUGAAAUGCGUAGAUAUCAGAAGGAACACCUGUGGUGUAGACGGCUUUCUGGACGAUUCCUGACGCUGAGACACGAAAGCGUGGGUAGCAAACAGG
rnacentral:rRNA from 1 species